rnacentral:rRNA from 1 species
GAACGGCAGCGGGUAGGAAGCUUGCUUCCUAUGCCGGCGAGUGGCGAACGGGUGAGUAAUGCAUCGGAAUCUACCUGUCCGUGGGGGAUAACGUAGGGAAACUUACGCUAAUACCGCAUACGUCCUACGGGAGAAAGCGGGGGACCGAAAGGCCUCGCGCGGACAGAUGAGCCGAUGUCCGAUUAGCUAGUUGGCGGGGUAAUGGCCCACCAAGGCGACGAUCGGUAGCUGGUCUGAGAGGAUGAUCAGCCACACUGGGACUGAGACACGGCCCAGACUCCUGCGGGAGGCAGCAGUGGGGAAUAUUGGACAAUGGGCGAAAGCCUGAUCCAGCCAUGCCGCGUGGGUGAAGAAGGCCUUCGGGUUGUAAAGCCCUUUUGUUGGGGAAGAAAUCCUGCUGGCUAAUACCCGGCGGGGAUGACGGUACCCAAAGAAUAAGCACCGGCUAACUUCGUGC